rnacentral:lncRNA from 1 species
GAACAUUUACAGCUUAUACUUAUUGUGGGUUUGAAAGAAAUGGAGAAUUCCCAACUGCAAAGUCACACUUUUAUUUAAGGCUUUAAUUGUCUUAAAGAAGAGCCUUUCUGAAAUCUAGCCCUUUUGGAGUUACUGAUGCCGUUUAUUAUCCAGUAAACUCUUUUAAGCCUUAGGACAGGUUAAUACUGCUCAGCAUUGGUAUAAUUUUUCUUAGGCUGUGUUACCGUGUUUAUAUGAGGAUCUUCAUUUUGCUUUGGCAGCAGAAUUUCUUUUUUGCUUCUGCAAAUUACCAAAAAAAAAAAAAAAAAAAAAAGAGAGAGAAAAAAAGGGGGGGGAAAAAUGCUCCUAAGCUGGAUUGCUUUGCAGCUGUGAAAACCUAUAAUAACUUCAGUCGGAUUACAACUACAUCAAAGGUAUUAUAUAUCCCUGAGUAACAUAUUUACUGGGCUUUUCAACAGCUGUAUAAUUAGCUCUGGAUGACUACUUUUUUUUUCCUCCACAUCUUUAAAUAUCCAUAUUUCAAAAUUCACAGAAAUUCAAAAGGAGGAUGGUUUUCCCUUUCACAGAAGGUGCAGCCUACCAGACUUUUUUCUGAGAUUUCAUUUUUUUCCUUAAAAAAAAAAAAAAAAAAAAAAAGGAAAAAAAAACACGACCUCAUCUUCCCCCUCCGUGUCCCCUGGUAACCAGAGCCAAGAUAUCAGCCACCCCCCUAGCACGCCUUGCCUUGAUUGAUGAGGGUGAUGGAGGGGAUUCAGGCAGGGGACAAGGGGACGGGCCCUUUGUGGCAUCCCCAAGGAGGCAGCUUUGAGGCAGCAGCUGUCCCUGGAGCUGGUCGCAGCCCCUUGCACAAUGGGAGGAUGGCAGAAGGUCUCCCCCUGUCUAGUGACAACAGAAAUUCCAUCCCACGUCCUGUCAAAAUCUUCGUGAGAAGGCUCUGUCAAACAUAUGUGAUGAGGACAAAAGAGCACGCUUCAAUUUUACCCACCCUCCCCAGUCAAAUCUAGUUCAUGCUGUUGUCCCUGUGCUGCGUUUCCAACAUUUGAGAAAGAAAAUCCCAUUCUGUUUAAAGUAAAAUGGAAAAAGCCAGCCUAGGAACCAGCUCAGGCUGACAAUGGAGAAUCACCUGGGCUGGGCAGGGUCAGGGCUGAGAGUUAGCUGAUGUGAUUCAACGCCUCACAGUGUCUGAUUUACAGCCCUAAGCAGCUGGAUACGUGUCCUUGGUGUCCCUAAGCUAACCCCUAACGGGUGCAGACGGAGAAGUUUCCAGGGUGGCAUGAAGCCAGCUGUGUCCCAGCCGAGCACAGCGCUCAGCCCCGUGAAACCAGCCCUCCCUCCUGGUGUUGGGAGCGCUGAGAACUUCAAAAGCUGCACAGCCCUGAGCUGACUGUAGCUAAUUCAGAAAGUCUGGGAAGCCACAGCUGUUUGAAAGGAAGGGCCUGAUUUUAAGUAUUAAAGCUAAUGGUCAGCUUCUCUGUUGUGGUUUGGCAGGCAGAGAGGGACAGGGCCGUCCCUUCCUGCACUUGAAAUCCCACCCCCAGGAAGAGAGACCCUACAUUAAAGGGGCCUUGCUCUCAUGCUGAGUUGCUGGGAUCCAUUGCCCACAUCUCAGCACCGUGGCAGAUCCCUCCUCUCUGCUGUGCAUGGAGCUUCUGCUGUGCAUCUCCCCCAGCAGAUGUGCCAUAGCCCAUCUCCAUCUGCUUUGCAGAGGUGCAGUAGGACACUCUGUGUCAGUGGCUCCCAUGCCCACAGCCUGUAUUAGGGUCAGUGAGCCACCCUGAUUUCCAUCAGCCAGAGUGUUCAGAAUGAGAAGCUCUGAGUUUUACCUUCUGUGCCACAGUUACACUGUGAGCUGCAAGCUUGUGUUGGGUGAGGCAAUGUGGAGGUCCUCGCUUAUUUGCAGACAACCUUCCUUUAAAUGGGAUCAGAUUGUGCCUCCCAGUAAGGGAUUUGAUUACUGGUGUGAAAAUACAGAUGCCCGUAUUCAGAAGUAAGCAAAUAGGGACAGACGUGCUAAUUGCGUGUCUGCACGAUGUUUGAGAGAAAAGGCAUGGAGUUUUGGGUUGGUGUUGCUACAUAAAAAUAAAUUUUAAUAUCAUGCAGCCA